GGGAUUGCCUCAGUAACGGCGAGUGAAGCGGCAACAGCUCAAAUUUGAAAUCUGGCGCAAGCCCGAGUUGUAAUUUGUAGAGGAUGUUUCGGGUGAAGCCACGGUCCAAGUCCCUUGGAACAGGACGUCAUAGAGGGUGAGAACCCCGUACCUGGCCGUCGGCUCCCCCCGCUGUGAAACUCCUUCGACGAGUCGAGUUGUUUGGGAAUGCAGCUCUAAAUUGGUGGUAAAUUCCAUCUAAAGCUAAAUACCGGCCAGAGACCGAUAGCGCACAAGUAGAGUGAUCGAAAGAUGAAAAGCACUUUGAAAAGAGAGUUAAAAAGUACGUGAAAUUGUUGAAAGGGAAGCGCUUGCGGCCAGACUUGCCCGCGGUUGCUCAGCCCGCCUUUUGGCGGGUGCACUCUUCCGCGGUCAGGCCAGCAUCGGUUUGGGCGGUCGGAUAAAGGCGUUGGGAACGUGGCCUCCCCUCGGGGAGGUGUUAUAGCCCGGCGCGCAAUGCGACCAGCCCGGACCGAGGUUCGCGCUUUGCUAGGAUGCUGGCGUAAUGGCCGUAAGCGGCCCGUCUUGAAACACGGACCAAGGAGUCUAACAUCUAUGCGAGUGUUUGGGUGUCAAACCCGUGCGCGUAAUGAAAGUGAACGGAGGUGGGAACCGCAAGGUGCACCAUCGACCGAUCCUGAUGUCUUCGGAAGGAUUUGAGUAAGAGCAUAGCUGUUGGGACCCGAAAGAUGGUGAACUAUGCGUGAAUAGGGUGAAGCCAGAGGAAACUCUGGUGGAGGCUCGCAGCGGUUCUGACGUGCAAAUCGAUCGUCAAAUUUGCGUAUAGGGGCGAAAGACUAAUCGAACCAUUUAGUAGCUGGUUCCUGCGA
rnacentral:rRNA from 1 species